rnacentral:rRNA from 1 species
CGGGUGAGUAAUAUAUAGCUAAUCUGCCCCUUGCUGGAGGACAACAGUUAGAAAUGACUGCUAAUACUCCAUACUCCUUUUUACCAUAAGAUAAAUCGGGAAGGAAUUUCGGCAAGGGAUGAGACUAUAUCGUAUCAGCUAGUCGGUGGGGUAACGGCCUACCGAGGCUAUGACGCGUAACUGGUCUGAGAGGAUGAUCAGUCACAUUGGAACUGAGACACGGUCCAA